rnacentral:rRNA from 1 species
GACGAACGCUGGCGGCGUGCCUAAUACAUGCAAGUAGAACGCACAGUUUAUACCGUAGCUUGCUACACCAUAAACUGUGAGUUGCGAACGGGUGAGUAACGCGUAGGUAACCUGCCUGGUAGCGGGGGAUAACUAUUGGAAACGAUAGCUAAUACCGCAUAAUAUUGAUUAUUGCAUGAUAAUUGAUUGAAAGAUGCUAUUGCAUCACUACCAGAUGGACCUGCGUUGUAUUAGCUAGUAGGUGAGGUAACGGCUCACCUAGGCGACGAUACAUAGCCGACCUGAGAGGGUGAUCGGCCACACUGGGACUGAGACACGGCCCAGACUCCUACGGGAGGCAGCAGUAGGGAAUCUUCGGCAAUGGACGAAAGUCUGACCGAGCAACGCCGCGUGAGGGAAGAAGGGUUUCGGAUCGUAAAGCUCUGUUGUAAGAGAAGAACGGGUGUGAGAGUGGAAAGUUCACACUGUGACGGUAUCUUACCAGAAAGGGACGGCUAACUACGUG